rnacentral:tRNA from 1 species
CGGGGCGUAGCGUAGUCUGGUUAGCGCGCCUGCUUUGGGAGCAGGAGUUCGUCGGUUCGAAUCCGGCCGCCCCGACCA